AACGAACGCUGGCGGCGUGCCUAACACAUGCAAGUCGAGCGGGAACCUCGGCAGGGGUAACCCUGUUGAGGGGAGAGCGGCGAACGGGUGAGUAACACGUGGGCAACCUGCCCCGGACACCGGGAUAACCCAGGGAAACCUGGGCUAAUACCGGAUACUCCGGCGAGACCGCAUGGUCGCGCCGGGAAAGCCCCGACGGUCCGGGAUGGGCCCGCGGCCUAUCAGCUUGUUGGUGGGGUAACGGCCCACCAAGGCGACGACGGGUAGCUGGUCUGAGAGGACGGCCAGCCACACUGGGACUGAGACACGGCCCAGACGCCUGCGGGAGGCAGCAGUGGGGGAUCUUGCGCUAAUGCGCGAAAGCGUGACGCAGCGACGCCGCGUGGGGGAUGAAGGCCCUCGGGUUGUAAACCCCCUUCGGCAGGGACGAAGCGAGAGUGACGGUACCUGCAGAAGAAGUCCCGGCUAACUACGUGCCAGCCGCCGCGGUAAAAC
rnacentral:rRNA from 1 species